GGAAGUAAAGUCGUAACAAGGUCUCCGUUGGUGAACCAGCGGAGGGAUCAUUACCGAGUUUUCCAACUCCCAAACCCUUCUGUGAACCUAUACCGACACGUUGCUUCGGCGGGAUCGCCCCGGCGCCCUCAGCGGCGGCCGGGCCCAGGCGCCCGCCGGAGGACCACACCAAACUCUUCAGAUUUUCUUCAGGCGUCUUCUGAGUGACACAAAAAAAAUGAAUCAAAACUUUCAACAACGGAUCUCUUGGUUCUG
rnacentral:misc_RNA from 1 species